CAGUGGUAGUUGACAUGAUGGUUAUAAUGUUAAGAGGAGGAGGAUACACUUCUGACACCACCCACCUCAUGUCUUCAUGUUGGUUUGCUGAUAGGAGGGUUUACUCAAAGAGGAGGAUGGAAAUAAUCAUAAUCAUCUGCCGACACACUGAGGGUAUCUUUUGUAUCAGCGAUAAAAUUAUUACCAAACACAAAAUACAACAUGAUCAUCUUAUUCCUAAGCAUUCAUUUGAACACUAUUCUGGUUUCAGCAGGUUCCUCUCUCAGUGACCAAGUCCAUCAGACUCCAGCUGACAUUUACAACACACCAGGACAAAUAGCCAAGAUUGAAUGUUCACACACCAAUCCAAGCUUUAACCAAAUCCUCUGGUACAAGAAAUCAAAGAACAGACAGCUGCAGUUGCUUGGAUACAUGGUGGGAGGCAGUGGAUCUCCAGAGAAUGGAGUGAAUGUGAAGAUAGCAGGGAGUGCAAAUAAAGACCAAAACUGCACAUUAACAAUUGAAGAACUCCAGCUGAACAGCAGUGCAGUGUACUUCUGUGCUGCUAGUUUACACAGUGCUACAUAUCACUGCUCCUCAGUACAAAAACCUUCUGAUAUCUUCAUGUUACAGGUUACACCUGUAUUAACCCAUUCUAGCCAAUGUUGGUCUUCCCUUUCAUCCAGAUCAGAUAUUAUAAUGGGAAGUUCCUUAUGUUCCUAACAACAGCCUCAGACGUUCAGCAGGUCUGCAGUGCCUGCACCUUAUUUCAACAAGAUAACUAUCAAAUGGUUGUCCAAUUAUCUGAAUGCAACUGUCUAUUACUGACAAAUAAAUUAACAGCUCCAUAAGUUUUUAAAUAUUCAGACUAAGAGACCAAGUUCAUGUUAGCAGUGUCUCUGGUAGUACAUCAUAUCACAUCAUACAGCGACACUCCCACAACUCUUCAUCUCUCUGCUGUAACGUCACACCUCCCAUCACACACACUGACACCGACUCCGGUCUCCAAGUUCAUGUUACUCAGAACACAAUAAUGAUCACUGCUGGUCUGAUCAGACUCUCUGCAGCUCUGCUCUGGAUUGUCUAAUUGAUGGGAGUGAUGUCACUCAGACACCUUUGCUGUGGAAGGUCAAGGAUCAGUCUGCCACAAUGAACUGCAGUCACAACAAGGAUGCCAGUUAUUUCCAGAUGUACUGGUACAGACAGCUACCAGGAGAGGGG